GUAGCAACGCAGUACGUCGAGACCGAGGACAACAAACGAAGGAGGAAAAAAAACGGGUGAACCAUCACAGAAUGAUCAAAAAUUGUCGCUCAUUUUCAGCUCAGUCCUGGGACAACUGAUUGAGACAGUUGUAAUUCCUGAAAUCCAUCGCCCGUGGCCUCUGGCCUGCUGAGGAGCACCGGAGUCCUGGGUCCAUGGAUAAACCAUAAAAAUCUGCUGCAAUACACCAUGAAGUGCCUCGAGAAUUUUGGAGUAAAUUCUAGAGACACUCGGUCUUCCACCGUCUCGAACACAAGAUAUUUUAAGUAUGAGUGUGGCACAGUGGAGAUGUGUCUAUUGCGUCAACAGUUUUUGUGUGUGCAGGAUGGAUGUGUAUUAGGAGAAUACUGCAAUCGUGGCAGUUGAUCAGCGCAGACUAGUGUUUGCGCUCACGCCAUAGAAUCUGUAUGUGACUUACAAGGAGCAAGCACACAUUAUUCUUUGACGUUAUAAUGAUUGUAAUCGUUAUGAACAAAUAAAAUGUGAUUUGACAAGAGACUUUUAAUUCAGGUGUUAGACUUGCUAGAAGCAAGAGCUGUUCUUUGAAUUUCCGAGUGGUUCUAAAACCAAACUUGUUUGUAAAUGUUAAUUAAGUGUGUUUCUAAAGCUCGAAGUACGAGUGAAAUACAAGAAGAUGGAGAUAUUUAUGUCUAAGAAGAUAAUUUUAUGGUGUAUUAAUACAUCAUGAAUUGCCUACUUAUUUAACAAGGACGACAAGCCAACUUUACACGUUCUGUCGCCAAACCGUUAGAACGUGGCGACCGACGUGACCAGGACUCGAAGAAAGAGGAAUUUUAAAACGAAAUAAAGAUGAUAAAAUAUUGUGAGUUGCCAUAGCAACCAAUAGUAACAAGACAAACAAAUUGUUUCACAGAGUUGGAUUCUGCAUAAACGGCAAAAAGUGUGAAAGUUGAUGAAUACCAGACAAAAGAAGAUGUAAGGAAUCUCAACAAUUUACACUAAGAAGAGUUACGACGAAACCUAUUUGAUGACAAGGAUCCAGUGUGGAGAGUAAGCAGCCCUCAUACACAUUGCAGGGGCGUGGAUGCAGUAACCAGCAACUGACGCCAACGGCGCCAACUGCUGCUCAAACUAACCUUCGAUGCUGCCGGCACCCGUGCUGUUCACUGGCACCGAUUUCACACCUGCUCAUCGACGCAGCCUAAGACUCUACGCAAGGUUCCACCAGGGACACCAGCUGCACUUCCAAACAGGGCGCACUCCAGGAAACUGGCAGCACUGAUAUCUAAGAACAAAUACCAUCUGCACAUCUUGGGGAUGGAAACAUACCACCUCCUGCUGGAUACAUAUGGCCAGGCACUGUCUGCAGGAGGCUAGUUCCAAUCAAGAGUUCCAGCUGGGGUUCCAGUCCCAGUACAGUACAGUGCAGUGCAAUCGCUGAGACAAGCCAGGACACUCCGCUCUGCUCCGCACUGUCGUCAUGCCUACCCCACACAUGGUGUACCCCCUCUCGGUCUCUGCCCUACAGCCAUAUGGGAUGGAACUUCCCACUGAUCUUUUACUAUGACAGUAAACUUUGUGUUUGUUAAUUCAAUGAUCACAAAUAAUCUUUCAGUUGUUUUGGUGCAACUUUCAUUGUGACUUUGUGCAGUUAAUAAAGUGUUUGUAGUACAACUUCA